GUUUGUGUUUAUUUUUUCUACUCAUAUUUGGCCUUUUCCCCCCCUUUCUAUGCCUUUUUUUUGUUUUGUUUUUUUGUUUUUAAUGGACCUGAUUUUUGUGCUUUGAAUAGAGACACUGUUGGGAGAAGUAAUUUCAGAUGCAGUUGAGGGUGUAAAAAAGGAUGUGCUAGACUGUGUUUACCUCAGGUCUGCUUAGUAUUUCAAUUAGAUCAAUAAAAGGAAAUAUUUAGAGCAAAAGCUCUUUAGAAAUACCUUCAUUAUACUAAGUAUUGCCUUGGUAAACAACUCACAGUAAAAACUUUUUCAGAAUCAGUAUAGAAUAGUGAGCUCAUAGUAGAACCAUAACUUUACCAUACUUACCUCCUUUCUAAUGGCUGGCUACCUAGGACAAACUAAAUGCCCAGUACUUACUAGUUCACAUUGACACUCUUGGAAGAUGUGAAUUUCUAGUGGGUACUCUACUUCUGAGACAGGAAAAGUUAAGUUCUCUCAAAAUAAGUACAGGAACAUCUGAGUGGGCUGAAGGUGUUGGCUAAUGGAAAGAAGGUAGAAAGCUGCUGUUUAUGAGGGAGCACCCUUGGUUUGCCUUUGAGAACUGCUGCACUUAAUGAGUCCUGACCCUUUAUCCUCUAUUUUAAGCUUUCAAUGUAAUCUAAAUCUAUCUUUGCAAACAUGUCUUCCAUUCAUUACACUUUAUCCAAGUGGAUAAUCACCUUGCAUGUGCUGCCUAUUUUUUAACCACCAUAUUUUUGCUCAUACUGUUCCUUCUGCCUGGAGUCUUGUCCCCAUCUGUCAAAAUCUCAUCUAUUCAUUACUAUUCACAUUCCACAAUUUAAUUUCUACUCUCUCCAUGGCACCCUCCUCCUUCUGUUACAUACUGCAUCACACUUCAGUAAUGAUAUUGGUGCUUCUAUUAUCCCCUCCUAUGUUGCAGGAAAAGGGGUUGUGUUUUUAUUCUGACGCCCUGCUUUCAUGGUAUACCAAUUUGCCAUAAUAGAUUUAAUAUAGAGCAAGUGGAAAGGCAGGUAUAGGAAAUUAAAAAUCUGAAUAGAAAAUGAGAUAAUAUAUGUAUGCAUAUGAUGUUUUAUGUAAUAAAAUAUAUUCUAGUUCUUCCUGAGCCCAUUUUAUACUCUGAAAGAAGACUAAAAUACUUUCUCCAGGCUAAGGAAACAUUAAGAAAUCAUCCCAAAACAUGUACAUAGCAGUUACCUGGAGACCCACUAAACCAGACUUGGGUCACUAAAUAGGGACCAGAGUGCCACUUUUCUGAACAACAUCCAGAGCUGAGCAGAAGGGGUACUGUGCUGGCCCUUAGAGCAGUAGCUAAGACAUUCCUGACAUCACUGCUGUAGCUCGUGGUCCUGUCAAGCCAAAGACCAACUGAAGAGAAAGGUGAGGCCAGGUGGGUUCUAUGAAGCACAGUCGUGGAGGCCUUCUCCCAUAAACUCAUCUGGCUAGUUUGCACAGAUGGUUAAGCCAGGAAUAAAAGGACUUCAAGACAAGCAGGAGCACCUGCUUUUUUGGAGAGGGGACAGCUCUGUUGACACAUUUCCUUUGUAAUUUCAUUUUCCUACUUCAUGUCCAGAGCUUGGGUGGGAGUAAAGAGCCGUUAGAAACUGAUACAUCCAACUGCUAUGGAAAAGAACCUUUUGUUUAGAAUCUGAGCUCAAAUGUCCUGUCCUCCCAGACCUUGAAUUGAUUGUCUCUUGGAUUCCACUCAUACAAAGCAUAUAUAAUAUCCCUGUUGAUAAAGACAGUGUUUUCUGAAAAUAAGAAGUGUUGAAGCCUUAGGAGUGUGAAAGCAUUUCAGAAACAUUUCCAGGGUGAGGUCUUGUUUGAGGGUGAAUAUGGAGAGAGCUGGCCCAACUCCAGCCACAUCUCCUAUAAAAUUGCUUCUUUUUAUUAGUGUAGUCAGUGGUAUGAUUUAGAUAAACCCUCUGGUGGUGUGGAAUGGUCCCAUGUUUUCUGCUGUAACUGUACCUAGAGUAACAGGGACACACCAGGGAAAACAUUGUUAAUUCUUCAGUUUCUUAUGACUAAAUUGGGAGUGGAGGAGGGGGAAACAGGAAGGAGUCAUUACAGUUAUUUCUCUAAGGAUAUUUCACAAGUUCUGCUCUGAUGCAUUUCUGAUUCUUGCAGAGGCUUUGGCAGAGUUCAGACAACUGCCAUGAGAAGUGGGUUACAGCCUUCAUAGGAUACACAUGCGAAAACACCAGUGUGGAAUGUCCUGAUGUAUGAUGGGAUUCUCAGGAGAAUGAAUAGGCCAAGAAAGUGGAACAGCUUAUCUAUAUUCCUAUGAUGAACUUGAGAUCAUACCAGAAGAAGGACCCACCUCCCUGACCUGUCUACUUCAGGUGGCAGGUGUGUUUAAAUAGGUUACUGGGUUUCUGGAGUUGCAUAAGUAAACAGUUGAGUCUGAAGAAGAGAAGGACAAAAGGCAAUGCAGGGAAUUGUGGAGCCAGGUGGAAGUGGAAACGGGAGACCUAUUAUGAUUAGAAUUUGUAUGCUGCUAGCAGAUGUCUUUUUUCCCCAGGUUAGCUGGUAUUGCGUUGUAACUGGUUAAUGACCUUAUGUAGGAUAUAAUUUUCAUUACUGAGCUCUCUAAAGAGUAUAUUUUUGGUUUGCUUCUCUGCAUUUUGACUUCUUGACCCAGUGUUCCAGUGUAAACUGCAGAGCAAUGAAAUUUCAAAAUGCAUGGGCAAGAGAAUGAAUAGAAAUUGCAGCCUUAAAGCAAAUAAGACAGGAGCUGCUAUGUCCAUUCUAGUCUUCCCCUACUUAACUUGGAAGUAAAUCAGCAUCUUCUGACAGUUUGGUUUCACAAAAUAAGAUGGACAAACUGAUGAAACAGGAGAUGCUGACAGAAGAGAAACAAUGGGAGGAAUAGGGGGAGAGCAAAGAGAGAAAGGUCUGUUAGCUGAAGGAGCCUUAAUGAUAUUAAAAUUAUUGGGCAGCUUCUACUUUGGAACUCGUUUUGUUCUAACAAAUGACAAAGCACCUUAAUUAUUACUUUAACCACGUAGCUCCAUCAAAACAGCAUGAAUUAGUACUCCACGUAUGAGCAAACCUAUCUACUGCCAUUGCUGUCUCUACAGCUUGAGAAAUCCUUAAGAAACAACAGGAUGAUAAUUGGUAGAGGCAUCAUCUAGUAUGGUCCCUUGUGAAUCUAAGUUACUUAGGCUUGGGCAAGAUGUUUGUAGGAUACCCUUGUUUUUGACAUACAUUUUGGGAUUCUUAGCUAAGACAAUCAGAAAAAAAGUCAUUGCUUUCAUUCUUAUUUCAGGAUUUUUUUUUUUUUUUU